rnacentral:rRNA from 1 species
UUUAUUGGAGAGUUUGAUCCUGGCUCAGGACGAACGCUGGCGGCGUGCCUAAUACAUGCAAGUCGAGCGGACCUUUUAAAAGCUUGCUUUUGAAAGGUCAGCGGCGGACGGGUGAGUAACACGUGGGCAACCUGCCUGUAAGACUGGGAUAACUUCGGGAAACCGGAGCUAAUACCGGAUAAUAUAAGGAACCUCCUGGUUCUUUAUUGAAAGAUGGUUUCGGCUAUCACUUACAGAUGGGCCCGCGGCGCAUUAGCUAGUUGGUGAGAUAACGGCUCACCAAGGCGACGAUGCGUAGCCGACCUGAGAGGGUGAUCGGCCACACUGGGACUGAGACACGGCCCAGACUCCUACGGGAGGCAGCAGUAGGGAAUCUUCCACAAUGGACGAAAGUCUGAUGGAGCAACGCCGCGUGAGCGAUGAAGGCCUUCGGGUCGUAAAGCUCUGUUGUUAGGGAAGAACAAGUGCGAGAGUAACUGCUCGCACCUUGACGGUACCUAACCAGAAAGCCACGGCUAACUACGUGCCAGCAGCCGCGGUAAUACGUA